AUUGAACGCUGGCGGCAUGCUUUACACAUGCAAGUCGAACGGUAACAGGUUAAGCUGACGAGUGGCGAACGGGUGAGUAAUGCAUCGGAACGUGCCCGAUCGUGGGGGAUAACGCAGCGAAAGCUGCGCUAAUACCGCAUACGAUCUGAGGAUGAAAGCGGGGGACCGUAAGGCCUCGCGCGAUCGGAGCGGCCGAUGUCAGAUUAGGUAGUUGGUGGGGUAAAGGCCCACCAAGCCGACGAUCUGUAGCUGGUCUGAGAGGACGACCAGCCACACGGGGACUGGGACACGGCCCAGACUCCUGCGGGAGGCAGCAGUGGGGAAUUUUGGACAAUGGGCGAAAGCCUGAUUCAGCCAUGCCGCGUGCAGGAUGAAGGCCUUCGGGUUGUAAACUGCUUUUGUACGGAACGAAAAGACUCUUUCUAAUAAAGAGGGUCCAUGACGGUACCGUAAGAAUAAGCACCGGCUAACUACGUGCCAGCCGCCGCCGUAA
rnacentral:rRNA from 1 species